GACGAACGCUGGCGGCGUGCUUAACACAUGCAAGUCGAACGGAAAGGCCCUGCUUGCCGGGUACUCGAGUGGCGAACGGGUGAGUAACACGUGGGUGAUCUGCCCUGCACUUCGGGAUAAGCCUGGGAAACUGGGUCUAAUACCGGAUAGGAGCCAUUUUUAGUGUGAUGGUUGGAAAGUUUUUUCGGUGUAGGAUGAGCUCGCGGCCUAUCAGCUUGUUGGUGGGGUAAUGGCCUACCAAGGCGGCGACGGGUAGCCGGCCUGAGAGGGUGGACGGCCACAUUGGGACUGAGAUACGGCCCAGACUCCUACGGGAGGCAGCAGGGGGGAAUAUUGCACAAUGGGCGCAAGCCUGAUGCAGCGACGCCGCGUGGGGGAUGACGGCCUUCGGGUUGUAAACGCCUUUCGCUAGGGACGAAGCUUUUUGUGACGGUACCUAGAUAAGAAGCACCGGCUAACUACGUG
rnacentral:rRNA from 1 species